rnacentral:hammerhead_ribozyme from 1 species
GCACUGCUGAUGAGACCCAACUAGGUGAAAACAGCUGUCCAGUGC